ensembl:piRNA 21ur-3012 ncRNA
UGGAGGUAUCCUAUCGUGUGU